AUACGGAGGGUGCAAGCGUUGUUCGGAAUUACUGGGCGUAAAGCGCGUGUAGGCGGCUUGGCAAGUCGGUUGUGAAAUCCCGGGGCUCAACCCCGGAACUGCAUCCGAAACUGUCUCGCUAGAGUCCCGGAGAGGAAGGCAGAAUUCCCAGUGUAGGGGUGAAAUCCGUAGAUAUUGGGAGGAAUACCAGUGGCGAAGGCGGCCUUCUGGACGGUGACUGACGCUCAGACGCGAAAGCGUGGGGAGCAAACAGGAUUAGAAACCCCGGUAGUCC
rnacentral:rRNA from 1 species